GCAGAGAGAAAUAUCCAAAGACAGAGACCCAGACAGACCCGGGGAGAAAGAGAGAUGAAGAGACGAUAUGCGAAACGAUAGGAGCUGAGCUGGCAGGGUGACAGGGGAAGGGAGAAGGAAGAAAAGGGAGGCGGUCCUGUCAGCGAUGGGUUACGAGAGCUGGAGCCGGGGGGCGGGACUGGGACCGAGUUAACGAAGUGGAAAUGAAUUCAGGACCGGCCCAGUGGCCCUGCAGGCAGCGCCGAAGGCGGCGCCUGGAAGUGAGAUUGGGGCGGAGUAGGCCUGGGCUCCCUGAGCCACAGGACUGUAUCUUUGGGCACAAUUCCCGUGUUGUUCACCGUCUCCUAAGUCCCCGGUGCGGUGCUGGGUGAGAGACGCGCAGCACACGGUGCCCACCUGCAGCGGCUUUCUCUGUAAGGAAAGAUAAGGCCGGAACCCUCAGCGAAGUGCGGGAGGUACUGAAGGCUGUAAAAGGGAGAGGUCAUUCUACUCAGAGGGCUCCUAGCAGAUGUGGGAGGAAAGAGGUAACAUCUGAUUAGGGUCCCAAAGGAAGCAGAAGAUUCAGGUGCUGAGAGAUGGUCCCCAGGACUCUGUUGCAUUUAAGGCAGAGGGAACAACGUAGCAGAGUCCUGGGGAGACGUGAAAAUACAAGUUCACUUGGGAAACAGCAUCAAACUGUCCCAUUUACUAGAUUAGAGUGCAGGGUGAUGGUUCUCAACCCUUUCAUCACCAAAGAUUUCUUUAAUUUUCUGAAUCUAUGUGUUGAGAGGUUUUAAUUCACCCC
rnacentral:lncRNA from 10 species